UCACAUACAAGUUUUUGUGCAGAAAUGUUCUAGUUUAUCUUGAAGGAUACCUAUGAGUGGGAAUGCUGAAUUUUAAGCUGUACAAUACAGUGGUUCAAAAAUUCUGUACAUCACUCAGUGCUCAUCACGAGAAUAAUCUGGUGAAUUACAACUGGUUGAAUAAUUACAAUGUAAAAAUGGCAGUCAAAGGAUC